rnacentral:tRNA from 1 species
AAGUUAAUAAACCAAAAAAAAGGUGUUAUGUCUUGAAAACAUAAAAAAGAUAAAUAAAAUCUAUUAACUUU